CGGGUUACAACCGGGGGGACGGGGUUAAUAUGUCUNUGGGGAACGUGNGCUUUGGAUAUGGGGGGGAACGGGGGGACGGUAGCUAAUACCUGCAUAACGUCGCAAGACCAAAGAGGGGGGACCUUUCGGGGCCUCUUGCCAUCAGAUUGUUGCCAAGAUUGGGAUUUAGCUAGUAAGUUGGGGUAACGGGUCACCUAGGCGAAGGAAUCCCUUAGCUUGGUCUGGAGCAGGGAUUGACCCAGCCCACACUGGGAACUUGAGAACACCGGGUCCAGAACUCCCUUAACCGGGGAGGCCAGCGCAAGUUGGGGGAACUAUUUGGCGCCANUUGGGGCCGGCCAAAGGCCCUUGAUUUGCCAAGCCCAAUUGCCCGGCGGGUGUAUUCGAAAGGAAGGGCCUUUCGGGGGUUUGGUACAAGGUUACUUUUUCCAAGCGGGGGCGCGAAGGAAAGGGGGUUGUUUAGCUGGGUUUAAAGUAACCCAACAGGCACAAUUUGACGGUUUACCCCGGCAAGAACAGGAAAAGCCGAACCCGGGGGUUAAAACUUCCGGUUGACACCAGGCCAAGCCCNGGCGGGGAUAAUUAACCGGGAAAGGGGUU
rnacentral:rRNA from 1 species